CAGAGAAUAGUUUAAGUUAAAAUUUUAAUUUUGGAGAUUAACGAUGGGAGUAUUUCUUUUCUCUGA
rnacentral:tRNA from 2 species